GACGUAGGGCGCGAGCGUUGUCCGGAUUUAUUGGGCGUAAAGAGCUCGUAGGCGGCUUGUCGCGUCGUCCGUGAAAACCUGCAGCUCAACUGCAGGCUUGCGGUCGAUACGGGCAGGCUGGAGUUCGGUAGGGGAGACUGGAAUUCCUGGUGUAGCGGUGAAAUGCGUAGAUAUCAGGAGGAACACCGGUGGCGAAGGCGGCUAUCUGGACAGAGUCUGACGCUGAGGCGCGAAAGCUAGGGGAGCAAACAGG
rnacentral:rRNA from 1 species